AUUACAACAUUGAAAAAUGUCGACCAGAUCAAAAAGGCUCUCUGAGGAGUGAAGGUUGAAGUGACUGAUCGAGGAAAUUUUCAGCGAAAAUAUCGGAUUUCAGGAUUGACAUCGCAACCCACAAGAGAACUUGUGUUUCCAGUUGAUGACCACUCAACUAUGAAAUCAGUUGUUGAAUACUUUCAAGAGAUGUAUGGCUUCACUAUCCAACAUACACAUCUUCCAUGCCUUCAAGUGGGGAAUCAAAAGAAAGCUAGCUAUCUUCCAAUGGAGGCCUGCAAAAUUGUUGGGGGACAACAUCAUACUAAAAGAUUGAAUGAGAGGCAAAUCACUGCUCUACUGAAGGUUACAUGCCAAAGGCCAAAGGAUAUGGAAAAUGACAUUUUGCAGGUAUGAAAUCAGUCUCUACAAUCCAUUACCAUGAAAUCAUCAAGCUUGUGCCAGAUGAAGUUAGUUUUUCCAUUUGUAUAGAUUAGCAAUCAGUAUUUUGUAGUUCGCAUCCUUAUUAUAAGCAUCCCUUGUAUUGGUUCCCUUUUUGUUUUGAAGGGAUAAUUUGAUCCGUUGCAUGUUUACUUCUGCUUAAGGGCUUAAUCUUAUUACAUUUAUUGAUGAGAAUUAUUUUUAAUAUUCUCCAUUAGUUUGUUGGGUGGCAUGCUAUUGCCUGUUGGAGCUAUCUAAAUGCACGGGUGGUUAAUGUUGACGUCUCGUUCUUAUUGUUAUGAUAUUUUCCCCCCAUUUCAAGUGA